rnacentral:misc_RNA from 3 species
AACGCACCUUGCGCUCUAUGGCAAUCCGUAGAGCAUGCCUGUUUGAGUGCCAUGAAAUCUCCCACCCCAAGCGGUUUUUACAUGAAACGGCUUGGCGGAUGGGGUCUGGAUGGGUGCCUCUGCCUGCGCUACCUAGCACAGGCUCGCCCGAAAUGCAUGAGCGCCUUGAGACACUUUGCAUCCGCCUCUCUGUUUGGGAGGAGGCGGCCAAGCAGUGUUUUUCUCCUGGCAUGGCAUGAUACGUCAUUUGCUAUGUCGCCUAAAGGAGGAAUGUUUGGUUGUGUCUGCGUGUGCUUCGAACUUGCCUCUGUGGCACAUCCCAAUUUCACUUCUGGUCUCAAAUCAGGUAGGAUCACCCGCUGAACUUAA